GAGGCGUACCAGAAGUCUCCCUGUUUAAUCCUUCAGCAUCCACCUGUGUUAUGCCAUGGAGAAGCUUUGUUUUUUCACAAGUUCUGGGAAAGCACUGUAAGAUGUACAUUGAUGAAGACAAACAA